rnacentral:rRNA from 2 species
CUGAGACACGGCCCAGACUCCUACGGGAGGCAGCAGUAGGGAAUCUUCCGCAAUGGACGAAAGUCUGACGGAGCAACGCCGCGUGAGUGAUGAAGGUUUUCGGAUCGUAAAGCUCUGUUGUUAGGGAAGAACAAGUGCGAGAGUAACUGCUCGCACCUUGACGGUACCUAACCAGAAAGCCACGGCUAACUACGUGCCAGCAGCCGCGGUAAUACGUAGGUGGCAAGCGUUGUCCGGAAUUAUUGGGCGUAAAGGGCUCGCAGGCGGUUUCUUAAGUCUGAUGUGAAAGCCCCCGGCUCAACCGGGGAGGGUCAUUGGAAACUGGGAAACUUGAGUGCAGAAGAGGAGAGUGGAAUUCCACGUGUAGCGGUGAAAUGCGUAGAGAUGUGGAGGAACACCAGUGGCGAAGGCGACUCUCUGGUCUGUAACUGACGCUGAGGAGCGAAAGCGUGGGGNAGCGAACAGGAUUAGAUACCCUGGUAGUCCACGCCGUAAACGAUGAGUGCUAAGUGUUAGGGGGUUUCCGCCCCUUAGUGCUGCAGCUAACGCAUUAAGCACUCCGCCUGGGGAGUACGGUCGCAAGACUGAAACUCAAAGGAAUUGACGGGGGCCCGCACAAGCGGUGGAGCAUGUGGUUUAAUUCGAAGCAACGCGAAGAACCUUACCAGGUCUUGACAUCCUCUGACAACCCUAGAGAUAGGGCUUUCCCUUCGGGGACAGAGUGACAGGUGGUGCAUGGUUGUCGUCAGCUCGUGUCGUGAGAUGUUGGGUUAAGUCCCGCAACGAGCGCAACCCUUGAUCUUAGUUGCCAGCAUUUAGUUGGGCACUCUAAGGUGACUGCCGGUGACAAACCGGAGGAAGGUGGGGAUGACGUCAAAUCAUCAUGCCCCUUAUGACCUGGGCUACACAC